ACUGCGGUACAGACGGGGGCAGCGGCGGCGGCGGCGGCUGCACCGGCGGCGGCGGCACCACACAAACAAGGACGCUGAUUGGGCAGCUGCCAAGCCCCUCGGCUCCGCCUUACCCACACGCCACGACGCCCAUUGGGCGACCUAAGCCGGCCACCCCGCCCUCAUGUUCUCGACCAUGCCAGUAGACGACUAGCUGCCGGGACUUCACCCCACCCUUGAAGAAUGAGUGGCCGGAGAAGUGAUGAUUGGCGUGCUUAAAACCCAAUCAUAAACGGAGGAGGGGGGGAUGGUCUAGCGGGGGCGCGUUAAUGGGUACCUCGGCCAGUCCCAGACACAUCCGGGUCUUCGACAGCCCAUUAAGUGUCGGGGGUCAAAAAAUCGCUUCAGGCUGCAACUUUACCUUAGAGACGUUUUGGUCCCCAGGCAGCCGCCGUACCCCAGUCUCUCCAAACCGGGAUUCCCCUUUGGCCGUCUCUCAUUCUUUCAAUUCUAAAGAUGGAGACUGGCGAACGGCGAUGGGGUCUGCGGUGGGCGGUGUUUCGUCGCGACAGAAUCUAGGAAAUUUCACGAUAGAACUAGCUUUAGGCGCUUGAGCCUUGCUGUCUUUUUGGGGUGUGGCCUGUCUCCGUCUGCCAAAGGCUUUGAGCUUCCUGGUGUUCAUCGUACCUCCGCUUGGUCCUGUCGUGACUAAACCACGACAGCAGAAAAAAAAAAGGCAGCUAGCCAAGUUGCUGAGGAAUUACGGUGUGCAGAGCCCUCGCAGCUCCUUCUCUUGGGAACUCCUGGUCUGGUUAGGGUUCUCAGCGAGGAAACAGCCUCCCAUCCCUCCCGAUUCCACCUAAUCAACUCAAGGGCCAGCUCCUCUUGCUGGCCUCCCUGCUUCCACGCAGCAGUUAGGCCCGCCUAAACUCAGCGAGCGUUUCUGGAGCACCUUGAGGAUAGGGACCAAGUAACAGAGUCCGGGUGUUGAGGUUAUGAUACUAGUUAACGUUUUCGGAAAGAGACUGUGUCAGGCUCUGUGCUAUGAACUUUACAUGAAGUAUUUAUUCCUCAUGACUGUGAGUCCAGUGCAUUAUUUGCUGUCUGAAAUGCCAUCCUUCAAGGGCUUUGAGGAGAUAUGAAAAACAUGGUGGUAUAUACCAGCCCAAGGAAGAUAAAAGUAAGGCCUGAGAAAAUACUUUUCAACAAGACCAAAAUUAGGCCAUGGAGGGGGACUUUCAAUAUGGAAUGAUCGAGCUUUAAGGAAGACAAGUACAUGAGCUCUUCUAGGACACUGAAAAAGCAUCCUAACAUGCUCAAGACAGGAUAGGAAAUGGUCCUCUGGCUUGAAAGACUCAGCAUCCAGAAGUAGUACCUCACUCUCCAUCCAGUGAUCACCCCCCAGAAAUGUGCUCUUAUGGAGUCUUGCUCUGUAGCCAGGCGGAGUGCAGUGGCGCCAUCUCAGCUCACUGCAACCUCUGCCUCCUGGGUUCAAGUGAUUCUCCUGCCUCAGCCUCCCAAGUAGCUGGGACUACACACCCAGCUAAUUUUUUUUAUCCCUUUUGUUACCAGUCAAGUGUAAUUUAUCAAUCCCCAGAAACCCAAUGCCAACCAUUAGACCAGCCCCAACUCUCUAUGCCUUUCCCUGCCUGAGCCCAGCUACUCCAUCCCCAAGCCUGUCUCACCAGGCCCUACCCACCUGCCUGGGAGCUGCCUGCCUCUUGAUGUGCUGACACCUGCUCCUGCUGCUGCUGCUGCUGUUGCCGUUCUCUCAAGGGCUGACGGAACUGAGCAGCCCCCAGGACAACAUUCCGGAGCUUGGCCCAGCGCAGACGCCCACCUGGUGUGCCAGACGGCCACUUGCUUUCCAACACAGCCUACCAAGCACAGUGCCCAUCAGGAUGGCCUACCUCGACACCCUAACCCUGCCUCAUACCCACUCCCUGUCCUGGAGCCCCAGGGAUCGCCCUUCCCCUGCAGACAUCCUGCCUAGGACUGUCUAGCCAAUGGCUCAGCCAGGAACAAGAGCCCAGAAGAGACAGUAGGCAGCAGCUGCCUCCCAAGGGACCUAGAAGAAGCCAGAGGCAAUGGAGAAAAUUUGUACCCAGACCUUGCUGCUUAGAAAUAUAAAAUAUAUGGCUCUGAAAAAAUCAUUUU